rnacentral:lncRNA from 1 species
AACGCGACGGGUACUCGGCGGGGGAUGAGCAUUUGAGGGCGGAGGAAGCGAAGAUAGAGACGAGGUGGUCGGAGUGAAGUUUGAAGGAGAGGGAAGGAGGUAAGACGGAGACGGAAGCGGGUCUGGAGACGCAGAGAGGAAGGGAUUUAGGAUUGAAAGCAGAGAGGGAAGAAGCAGAGGCAGACAUGGCUAAAGCUUGAGAGAAUUUUGCUCUCGAGGCUAAAGCUUUGAGAAGCUGGUGGUGAAGAGAUAAGGUUUAAGGGUUCUGC